rnacentral:rRNA from 6 species
GGUAGCUUAACCUUCGGGAGGGCGCUUACCACUUUGUGAUUCAUGACUGGGGUGAAGUCGUAACAAGGUAACCGUAGGGGAACCUGCGGUUGGAUCACCUCCUUACCUUAAAGAA